CCUUCUAGAUGUGCCUAUAUGGGAAACAGUCUGCAAAGUAAAGUUAAAUUCACCAUAAGGCUUUUAAAGGAUUGGCUUUACAACUGGAUACCAGCACAGAUGACAUCUGUCUGCCACAGGGCACCUGGAAGACUUAUUUUCUACUGCUGUUUAUUUUGCCUAAGAUGAAGCUGAAUAUUAGAGCUCUGGGAGGGGGAUAACAGCGUACAACCCCUCUCCCCAGUGCCAGCACAAAGGUCUGGCAAGAAGCAAAGGACUUGGCUAGCAGAUGACUUUUUGCAACA